UUCACGCAGGCGCAGUCGGGGCGAGACCUGCAUGCCGAGAGCUUUAACUCCAACAGUGCCGUGGAGGAAUAAAGCAGGACUUUUUUUGGUCAUUUGGGGCUCACCUUAGAAGUUUAGGAAUCUGGGUGGGGAAAUUCUUAACUACCCUUUUUGGGCCAAGCACCCUUUUAGGGUUUUCCUGUCUCAGUUUUACCAUCUUUGAAAUGGAUUUGAAUCAGACCAAAUGAUCUGCAAUGUUUACCAUCUCUAGGAGACUACAGUCACAGUUUUCGGUGACAGUAGGUUUCUCAUGUGGCAAGGCUGGGCCUCUGGCCCUAGAGGGAGUGGCCUGCUGUUCUGGAAGGUUUCUUUAGGAACGGGGUUGAUGAGGGUUUUGAAAGACUGGUCUAGGUGGCCAGGUAAAGAGGGAAGUGUGGACCUGGAAUGGAGCAGAGUCCCGGUCAACGUGUGGAGCACUGUGAAUGGCCUGUUGUGUUUCAAGUGACCACAUUCUCCUGUUUGGAAAUUCAGCAUCCCUCUGCAAUGAAAUGGGAACAAUCAGAGGAAGGUCACCAGGAAGUGCAGAUGCCAUCGGUUGUUAGCUGACCUGCUGGAACUGGAACCUGAGCCCCGUGGGUGGAGUGUGUCAGAAAAGGAGUCCUCGUUCUGGAUUUGCUGAUUGCUGUCUGCAGUAUCUUCUGUGUAUGCCUGAUUGCGGUUCAGAAUGCAGGGCCCUCUGCUGGGCUGUGUGCAAAAUUCUGUCCAGGGAAUUUUCUGGAAAGAAACAAGCCAUGGAAAAUGUAGGGGAAAUAUUCUGAGAACCAAAGAAAACAACUAAAUAUUCAUUUGAUUUGACACAAGUUGGAAAGUGCUUGGAAGAUAUAAUAUUUAGGUGGUCAAAUUAGAAAGUUCAUGCCCCUCCUUUUUUCAUUAGCCACACCUGAAAAGUAUUGAUGUGUUAAGUUUAUUUUUAAAAGCUAAUAACUAAAAUGGGGCAGUUUAAUGAUCACUCUGGAAAGCAACACUAUGUAAUUUUCCAUAUCAAUAAUUUUAUUGUCUUCAGAAACUUAAUGAACUUUUGUGGGUUUGUUUUUAAUCUUAAACUUCUUAACACUUGGGGAAUAUAAAAUAUGUCUGUGACUCAGCAUUUUUCUUCUCAGAAUCACUUGUCUCCAGCCACAGCAGAGGAAAUCAUGAAACCAUUGGUAAUAGACACUUGAAACCCUUUGGUUAGAAUCUUUACAUAUUAUUAGUGUUAGUGUAAACUCAUUCUUUGCUCCUCAUAUAACUUAGUUAAGAUAUUAACAAAGAGGGUAAUAUCUAAAUACAUUAUAGAAGUUCAUAUAAUGAGGUACUAAUACAUCCAUGAAAACAAAUGUGCUCUUUUGGAAAGGUGCCAUUAUUUUAUUGCCAAGUGAAUAAAAAUAACUUGCAGAGCAAUAAGUACUCACUGAUCUCAUUUUCCUUAAAAAACUUACCUUGGUAUAAGAACAGCAAAAUGCUCAGAA